UAUAUCUGUAUAUAUACAUGUAUAUACAUAUAUGUAGUUUUAAGCCCCUUAAGUUCAUACUGUUUAUUUUUAUUUUUUUGGUACUGGGGAUUGAACUCUGGGGCACUCGAUCACUGAGCCACAACCCCAGCCCUAUUUUGUAUUUUUAUUUAGAGACAGGUUCUCACUGAGUUGCUCAGUGCCUCACAGUUGCUGAGGUUGGCUUUGAACUCGUGUUCCUCCUGCCUCAGCCUCCUGAGCUGCUUGGAUUAUAGGCAUGUGCCACCUGUGCCUGGUUUCAUACUGAUUUUUAGACAACAUUAACAAAGGAACAUUUAUAUACCCUAGGUGGAAAAAAAAAGGAAAGUUCUUGAUUAUAGUUAAAAUCAAGUAUUUGUCUUUACCAAUUAAAAAAAAAAAACUCAGUGACCUAAGCCAUUCAGUAUUAAUUUUAAAGAUGCAGAAAAUUGCUUCCUUGAGUUACUUUACAAUAAAAAAUUACCUUUUUAUUUCCAGGGAACUCUUAUGGUAGGGAGAAAAAUUAAUUCAACAAACAAAACUUGUGGUUUGGUAAUUCUCUAAACCUUGUGUCAAAUGUGUUGCUGAGCACAGUGAAGUCAAAGAUGUAAUUCUCAGCAAGUUCUUCCAGUGGGUAAGGAAUAGGUGAAAGAAGUAUCAGAGCCAUGGUUUCCCUUUGAGCUGUACAAUAAUGGAUAUUGAAACUGGAUUCCCAAGCUUUGCUGCCCAAACUUCUCCUGUUCUUUAUUUCUUAAUUUUGAGUCUCUUCUUGGCCAGCUCGAGUGAGGUGUCAAGGUAUUGUUUUCCCAACAAGAUUGUGUAGAUGAUAUAUUGUUUUGAGCCUUUGUACAUCUGAGGAUGAAUUUCUGUUACAUAUACUUAAGGGAACUGUCUUAACACUGAGAAUAUCUUUGGCCUCAUUUUCUGUUCAUUUGGAGGAGAGUUGAAUUUGCAUCUGUAGCUGUACAGCUGUUUGCACAGCUUAUCUAGAACUGCUCAAAGACCAAUAAGAUUUUUCACCCUUGUGCUGUUCUUCCUUCUCCUCUGCCUCUUGUUUUGUCAAUUUUCCAGAAAUUGCAGUUUGUACAACAUUUUAGGAACAAUUUAGGUCUUGAUGGUAUAGAGCUGGAUUUCUCAACUUUGGCACUUUUGACAUUUUGGGCCAGAUGAUUCUUGUAGACAUCUGUCCUGUGCCUCACAAGUUGUUUAGCAGCAUCCCCAGCUUCUGCCCUCAAGCUGUCAGUAGCUCCUUACAUCCAAGUUGUGACAAUGAAAAAAAUGUCUUCAGACAUUGCCAAAUAUCCUGGUGUAGAGCCGAUGGGCCCAGCAUUCCAGCUGUCUCAAGAAGCAGCAACUGGGCAGGCACAGCAGUGCAUGACUGCAAUCCUAUCCACUCUGGAAGUGAAAGCAGAAGGAUCACAAGUUUGAGGCCAGCCUGGGCAACUUAGCAAGACCCUACCUCAAAAUAAAAAGGUUGUGGGAGUGGAGGUUGUAGCUUAGGAGUAAAGCACCUCAGUUCAAGCCCCAGUACUGGAAUGGAGGGAGGCAAAAGCAACUGCACUUAAAAGUAUGGCUGCCUCCAUGUUUUAGUUGGUAUAAACUUUUUUUUUUUUUAAUCCACACAACAAUUAAAAAAGAAGAACAAGGGAUAUUUUGAUUUGUUUCAUUUUUUAAAUUUUUAGAUAAGCAUGUACCUGCUUUGUUUCUGAUGGCAUUGUACAAGUAGUCCACCAAUUGUUUUCAAUUCAUCCUCCAGGCAAUUCAUGAUUAUUUCUCUCAACUUGUAACAAUAGAUCAGCUAUAAAGGUCAAAUAUAUUUAUCUUAUGUGUCUUCAUUUUUUUUAAUAUGAAAUCUUUUUUUUUUUUUCUUCAAUAUUGGGUAUUGAACCUAUGGUCUUACACAUGGUAGGCAAGUGAUCUACCACUGAAUUACAUUCUCAAUCUUGUUUUAAAAAAUUUAUUUUGAGUCUGGUCUCACUAAGUUGGCCCAAGUUGGUCUUGAACUCAUGAUCCUCCUGACUCAGCCUCCCAAGUAGCUGGGAUCACAGAUGUUCACCAUCAUGCCUAGCUUUCUGAAACCUUUUAAAAUGGGAACACAUUGAAAUCUUUAAAAGAAUAUCCCACUUAACAAUAUUCUUGUUUAUAACAUAAGAAGUUAAUACAAAUAUGUUGUAGUAGAUGGCCAAGAAAUUGAUAAUAUACUGUAAUUUGUGCUAAUGGGUUUUAUCUUUUGACUACAUAUCUGUUUUUUCCUUUUUUCUAUUUUGUAGUAUAAUUACAACAAGUCUUUCAGAAUUGCUUCUGGCCUAAACCUUUUCAUUCUUUCUAGUCCACUUACAUAGUCACUAUAACAAGCCCUCUUUUGGACUAGACACUUUAGAAGGAAAAAAGAAGUAAUGGUGAUAUGGGGGUGGGAAUGAGGGAAAAGAUGAAAAUGGCUUAGUUCCUGUUCCUUUGCCUCCCCCAUUCCCUUACCUCAUGGUAGAGAUUUGUUCUUCAGGCUUCCUUACUCUCUAGGUAGACUUGUCUUAUACUGGAUAUGGUAUUGGUGGUUUCAGUUUUCCUCUCUUCCAUCCUGCAGGGAGACUAGUAGAAUUCGGUUACAGAAUGUUACCCCAAGGUGUAAUGUCUACUGCAGCAGGCCUUGCUUUAUACCUAGUGAUCAAAUCGUGCAAUGGGAUGUUGUCUCAUUCCCUGUCUAUCAGAACCUAAGCUUUCACUCAUUCCUUUUCCCCAGGACUAUUACAAUAGAAAUGAGGUAAGGGUGCUCAUUUCUUCAAACACCCAGUAAGAAGCAGAGGAUCUAUUGGCUCAUCUACUUUAUUACUCUUAGAGAUUAAUAAAUCAAAACAUUCUUCUGACUGGGUAGUGUUGACUAUUCCUGAGUUGUCUUUGGUUUAUCAUGUAUUUUGAGUGAAAAUGUACUUAUCUGAGCCCUGAAUAUUAUUAUUUAUAUUUUUCAAGAAGAAAAAGACCUUAGUAUUUGACAUAGAAAAAUCCACCCCCAAUCCAGGCUAACACAUUCCUUAUGUCUUUUGCCCGAAAUUCCAAGGUUGGAUAUACACAAAUUGAACUUUAAGGGGUAUCCCUUUCAAUGAACAAUCAAAACAUUAAAGUCUCUAGUGAUUUACAAUAUAUUGAAAAUAAUAAGUC
rnacentral:lncRNA from 1 species